GUACGAGCCGAGAGGGAGCAAUCUAUAGGCGUCGUCUGUGGAUCAUUAAUGUCCGGUAUCUACCUGGAGGUAAACCAUAUACAGAUUUUCCGGUUUCUUUCUCAUAACAGAACCUAUCAACCAUCGCCUGCGGUUAGCACACGCAACGCAACCCACAUUCUAUCCAAACGGAGACACUGAAAAUGACAUAAUACCGGACUACUAUGGAAGAUAUCAAAGAAGACAGCUGUACCGGAAACGAUGAAGAACUAGAACAGAUGACAUACGGCUGUGACCAACAUGAAAGGUCUCCCUUGAUAAACAACACAACUUGGCGGUGACCAUACCAUUAACAGCAAACACAAUCUACAUUAACGGCUUAUGGAAUCAGUAGUUUCGAUUAUUGAUGUGUCCCAGAAAUAGAACUGACUUUAUAAUUUCUGGAGAAAAUGCAAUUUGCAAAGGGAAUACUUUAGACAAGCCCAUUAAGAAUUUAUAUCCUUUAUUGCAUCAUGAUCUACGCGCUGUUUUUAGAUCGUAAAUUAAUAUGCGAUUAACACCAGUCUAAGCCAAACACGUACUUUGAGUGAUGUGGAUAAGAAUAAUUCAAUUAAUUUAAUUUACGGCCGAAAACAAGACAUAAAACACACGUAGAAGCUUUAUCGAUUAUACAGGUGAACCAAAAACAACUGAAACAGGUGUGAACGGAUUUGUGGUUGAUCUGUACGC